AACGAACGCUGGCGGCAUGCCUAACACAUGCAAGUCGAACGAGACCUUCGGGUCUAGUGGCGAACGGGUGCGUAACGCGUGGGAACCUGCCCUUAGGUUCGGAAUAACUCCCCGAAAGGGGUGCCAAUACCGGAUAAUGUCUUCGGACCAAAGAUGUAUCGCCUUUGGAUGGGCCCGCGUUUGAUUAGCGAGUUGGUAGGGUAAAAGCCUGCCAAGGCGACGAUCCAUAGCUGGUCUGAGAGGAUGAUCAGCCACACUGGGACUGAGACACGGCCCAGACUCCUGCGGGAGGCAGCGGUGGGGAAUAUUGGACAAUGGGCGAAAGCCUGAGCCAGCAAUGCCGCGUGAGUGAUGAAGGCCUUAGGGUUGUAAAGCUCUUUUACCCGGGAUGAUAAUGACAGUACCGGGAGAAUAAGCGCCGGCUAACUCCGUG
rnacentral:rRNA from 1 species